UACGGAGGGGGCUAGCGUUGUUCGGAAUUACUGGGCGUAAAGCGCACGUAGGCGGCUUUGCAAGUCAGAGGUGAAAGCCCGGGGCUCAACCCCGGAAUUGCCUUUGAGACUGCAUCGCUAGAAUUGUGGAGAGGUAAGUGGAAUUCCGAGUGUAGAGGGUGAAAUUCGUAGAUAUUCGGAAAGAACACCAGUGGCGAAGGCGACUUACUGGACACAUAUUGACGCUGAGGUGCGAAAGCGUGGGGAGCAAACAGG
rnacentral:rRNA from 1 species